GUCGCAUGGGCACACACACUAAAAACACAAACAUACAGCACGCCACCACCUUGCCAUUGAAACGCCAUAGCAAUUACUGCAAUCAAAGCAUCUUAACAAGUCCUGUUGAUAGCUGAUAAGCGUUUUUGUUUUUUUUUUUAAACACACACACACUGCAGACACAUACUUAUUCUGGGAAAAUGACGCACAACCAAACUGCUCUCCUUGGUCUUAUCAGUCUUUAGGGAAGUAAACAAACAUAGUCCUGUGAAAAAGCUAUUAUUUGGUCCAAAUCAUCUGAUGUCGUCAGCUCCCGAACAAAUUGGUAAUUCGACUUUUGACUUUGAAUCUUCUCCAAGUCAUCUGAAAAGUUGCUCCUCAUCCAUUCUGAGCAGGCGUGGGCACAAUUUCAUUCAUAGCUCAGCACCUCAGUAAGCGAGAAAUCAAUGGAAGCGGACCCGAAACAUUCCCAGAGAUGGCCCUUUUUCUCUUGGAUUUGGGAUCAGACGUCUCGUGGACACUGCUGGCACGGGUGUGCAUUAAAGCUUCAUCGAAUGGAAUGGGUUCUGUUAUGGUGAGUUAGUGUCAAAGACCAAGGGGUCAGUUUGUUCAAGAACAACAAUAGCUAACAAGCUAGUCCUCAAAAGCCCCAUUUGCAUCGAUAGACUUUGCCCCAUCCCGCCACCCCAGCAGAGGUCGUGGGUUAGAUCCCAGCUCCGGCCUUCCUGUGUGGAGUUUGAAUGUUCUCCUCGGGCCUGCGUGGGUUUUCUCCGGGUGCUUCAGUUUCCUCCCACAUUCGAAAAAACAUACAUGGCAGGCUGAUUGAACGCUCACAAUUGUCCCUAGGUGUGAGUGUGAGCGCGGAUGGUUGUUUGUCUCUAUGUGCCCUGCGAUUGGCUGGCAACCGUUUCAGGGUGUCCCCCGCCUAUUGCCCGACGACGACUGGGAUAGGCUCCAGCACCCCCCCCCCCCCCCCCGAAUAUGGAUGGAUGGAUGGAUGGACAUUUCGCCCCCUUCUUUGGAUUAUAUUUUUGCCUCUGCUAUGUGAAGAAGUGAUCAGAUAGUGAAACAGCUCCCUCUAGUGUACAUUCACUCGCUGCUGUAUUAUUCUUAACUUUUGUGAAAGAGUUUAGGGGGUAACUAUCACAUUGCUCAGAAGAAAUAAAAUCACUACAUUGUCUAAUCGUGAGAUUGAUAAGCCACCAGUCCAGGGAGUAGUAGACACAAGUCAGUGACAAGCAGAAAAUGUAUGUAUGUAUGGAUGGGAUUGUUGAUUUACCAAUGGUGAUGUGGUGAAUAUGCAUCGGGAAAAUUAUUGCACCUGUCUGGUAACAUUCACUUUACGAUUUACAUUCUUAUCUCUUACAAAGUCAAUUUAUUGUCACGUCAGUUCAAUUGAUAAUCUUUUGGAUACCUUACAGCCUCGGCCACAUCGUUUGAAGUGUGUCCAGACAAAGCGUCGUGCAGAUUCCGAAUGAAGUAAUCCCUGUACUCUUCAGACAGAGCCAUGAAGGUCCCGCCCAUCACAAUGAACUCCACCUUAUCCACACUGUGGCCCAGCUGCUUGAGCUGCAGAUCACACCAAAUACACAGAUGUUGAUGCCAAUGGUUGUGUUUGGUGAAUUGGAAACGGAUCAAUAAGCUUAAUUAGAAGGAAAAUUGCCAGGCAUGUUGAUGUAGUUGUGUGCUGAUGCUGUGCAUAGUGCGAAAAUAAAGUUAUGGCACGCGUGUUUAUUGACAUGCUCUCAUUGGCCAGUGGUAUCAACCGCCAUGCUGAAAGGAUUCGACUGACCUGCUCCACGCGAUGUCUGGUCUGUAGGUAGGGAUCAUAUCGCGCUCGAAUGGCUCUCAUUGAGGUGGGCUAUGACAAAAAAAAAAACAACAACAGGUGGAAGGGCUUUUAAUGACUUUUUUCCCCAUUUAUUAUUAUUUUUAAUCCCUUCCCUUUCAGAAAGAGCAAAUGGCAAAGUGACACCCCCCCCAGAAUCCUGCCGACUGCUGUCAGGCACUUCUGUGCAUACGCACAAAUGAUAAAUGAGUCACAUGGUCUUCAGCAGUUUACGUACCGAUACAUAAAAUAUAAAUGGUUGAGGCCAUUGCUGUAGAAGAGGAAAUAUGCGAGUCUGAAAAACGUUACCUCAUAACCGGUGUAAGACUGUGUGGAGUAUUCAAAGUCUGAGUCCGGCCCACCAGGGCAGUAUCUACAAACAUGAGCAUGACAGAACAUGAUGUACCUACGCCUGUGUUCUUAGAAAAACAUCAUGGGUAUUUUGAAGUAAAUACAACCGAUUCUGUACACAAUAGUAUCAUUGACAGCAAAAAAAGUGAUUGGCCCUUUUCUGCUUAUUUUUCUUGAUAUUUGUGUUAAGACACAAAAAAUUGCACAGACAAUUCAACUUGUUUGUGGACGUAAGAAUAAUUACAUUUGAGGGCAGCUGUCACUUACACACAAAUAUUGCCUGUGAAGCUGAUGUGUGGACAUCUAUGUGGUUUACACAUCACAGCGACAACUGCAAUCUGUAACAAGAGACGGGGGGGGGGGGGGGCACCACUUUUCUACAUAUCAUGAGGAAUCAAAUUUUACACAUGAUAUAAUAGUAAUGUGAGGGCACUGUCAACAAUGUUUGUUACAUUUCAGAGAGCUACUUACCCCACUGGCAGUGCGGAUUGGUUUGGCCUUUAGUUUGGGUACCAAAGCACGGCGGUAUUGUGGAGGAACAGCGGCUAUAAUAUCCACCAAGCGAGGCUGAGCCUCCAGGCCAUAUUUAGCGGAGGUCUUUGUUUUCAGUCUAUUAGAAAAUAAUUGAGAAGUGUGAAUACAGUAGCUGCAAUAGGGAACAACUGGGGUUAUUUGUUGGAAGUGUAUUUUAACAUUAUAUUAGUUGAGAAUUCAUGAUCAUGGGCUACCUGGCAUUUUUCCAAUACUAAUGUCCACUGACAUGGAGACUUGCUCUACUUGGCCAUUUUAAUUCAGUCGUUACAAAGGUAAUAAAGCUUUGAUUAACUCUCUCAGAGAAGUAUCAAUCUAACAAAGGGUUUGUUAUUGUCGUUGUAGUUUGCAGUGGCAUAGAACCAUCCUAUAUUUCUCUGAAGAGCCUUUUCUCAUGCUUUGAUGACCUGAUUUUUUCCAAUAGAAAACACAAUCGGAACUCUUCUCUGCACUGUGUGAGCCGUACUUCCAUUUGUUAUUACAGCGUAAGGAUUGUUUAAUAUAGUUUACUGCUUAACCUCUUUGCCCAGACAUCAAAAUACAAUAUGUGAAGUGUCUCAGUGCUUGUUCCAUACUUGUUGAGGUUGAUGUCUUUUCCCUCUUCGUGUGCUUCAACCAGCUGUUUGAUGACAUCGGCGAUUGUCAUCAUCAUCAGUUCAGCUCGACUGAGGUCACCUGUCAUAAAGAAAUAUGAAAAUGUACAAACUACUUACAAAUUGAGAGGAACAACUACACAAGAGAAAUGACUUUCGUUAGCAUUAGCAAUGAGCUCCGGGAGCCUGUCACUUUGACGAAAACUUACUCUUUUUCUUUGGCUUCCCCAUUCCUCUGUAUCUGUUAUCCGCCUAAAUUCAACUGUGAUAAAGAACUUUACAGACGCACAGUGACCAAACUUGUCGGCAAAAA